CUUGUAUGUUCACAGCAGCACUAUUUGUAACAGCAGAUAUAGAAUCAACCUAGUGCCCAUCUACAGUGGGUUGGACAAAGAAGAUGUGGUACAUGCACACCAUGAAAUACUACACAUCCAUAGAAAGAACAAAAUCAUGUGCUUUGCAGCAACGUGGCUGGAACUAAAGGCCAUUAUCCAAGUGAACCAACAAAGUAACAGAAAACAAAAUACUGCAUGUUCUCA